CUCGUUUUUGCGAACGGUUGGAAGACACGCGGAAUGGACGUUUGUCGAUAUCGUUUACACGAACGACACGUACGUAUAAGUUACGAUGAUGUGAGGCAGAUCCAUUAGACUAUGCAAUUGUCCACGUAUUGCAUUGUCAGCCACCAUAGAGAUUUCUAUUCAGAAAUCGCGGAAGUCCCCGGAUGCAUUGACGAGAGGUAGAGGAUGAUCGAGGACCGCUCUUGUUGCGAGAAGGAAAGAGACACGAGAGAGACGGAAUAUCAUGAUCGACCAGGAUACUGGUUACUCGUAUUUCCCUUUUUUCCCCUAAUUGUCAUGCGUGAUAUUCGUUUCUACAGAAGUCAAGAAUCUUUUCUACUGUGUGUGCAUAUAUUAGAAAUUGUCAGAAAUUUUAUUUUAAUUGACAUUACGUACGUAUAUAUAAAUAAAUUUAUAUAAUUAAAAUGUUUUAAUUUCAAAUAGAUAACAUUCGUAUAUCAUUAAUAACAUAACCUAAAAUUAUCGACAUGAUUAAUUUAUUAUUAUAUAUUCUUAUUUAGAUUACUAUAAAACUAAUUCGAUUUCUUAGAAAAACCAUCUCUUUCAUUCAUCAAUUUUUCUACAUUGAUGAAAUCGUAACAAGAUUCUUCGAAUAAUCGAACAAAAGCUUUCAGUCCCCUAAUUAACCCAGUUCAAAGAUCCCGUGUCGGUGAAAUGAAUCUUUGUUACGCCCCGAUUCGCUUCUGUAGAAACACACGCACGCCGCUUGAUCGAGGGUGAACACGGGUUUGAAUAAAAAGCUUUUUACAUGACCAGGAGAAAUAAAAGAGCGCGCGCGAGAGGAAAGGAAGAAAAAUCUCGGAUUUCCCGUUCUGCUACGCGCCCUUGUCUUUUGCCCUCUCGAGUUUCCUGGAUCGUUCUUACCACGCCCAGCAAUUUGCCUUGUGCUACAACUUUGCGAUCGAUUAUUCCUCGAUUAUGGUGUAACGAGAUAUCCAAUCGUAAUAUCUAUGGUACACACGGCCAUUAUUCGAUUGGAAAACCAAUAUUUUCUUACGUUUUGUUAAUAUCCCGAUUUCCAUGUACCUGUGGGUCUAUCGUGAAACAAUUAUAUCCUCCCUACAUCAUUUCAAGUUACACAAUGUAUGAGUAUUGUAUGAUUACAACCAAUGAUUGACAAGGAAAGGAUACGAAGGAUUGAAACGCACAAAAGCUUAAGGAGGAUUUAAAAAAAUAGAUUUUAUUGGGAUAUUUUAAAAAAAUUUGGAGGUUAUGUCACAUGAUUUUUCUCUAUCCGGGAUCCAUGAAUUUUCUAUCUAACUGGAACAUUUAUACGAAGCAUCGGUGGUUUUAUUUAAAUACCCGAGAAGAAUUCAGUGGCCAAAAAAUCGGCGAACCGUAAAGAAAGAUUCACGGAUAAAAAGGGGAUCCGUUUGAUCGCGGACCAGCGCUUGAAGCGUGGUGAAAAACCAGUCCCGACCGUAUCACUCCGUUUCUUUGGUCAGGAUCGGGCCAAACAAUUAAACUCGAAUGAGAAAAUCUCUUUUGAUGACGAUGCACCGCGAUGAACGCACGACGGACAUAUUAGUAUAAUAAGCGACGAUCUGUGUACGCAUAUAUAGAUUAUGGCAACAAAGAGGAUGAAUGAAAGAAACGACAGAGAUAGCAGUAGCAAUGAUGAAAAGAAUUAGAUAAUGGGAAGGUGGGGAAAUGCACAAUUUUAAUGUGUACCCAGGUGGUAGUGAACAGAACGCAACAGAAUGCAACUCCACGGUAAAUUAUUUCAUAUCUCCUGGCCUAUUGCAUAUCUUUAUGAUCUAAAAACUUCAAACUGAGUGAUUAAUCUGAAAAGAAUUUUCUAGAUUAUUUCUUGUGAUCAUCCCGAUAGGUAUUUGAUUGCUUUUUACCAUGUAAUAGAUAGAUAUAAUAGAUAUAAGCGAUAGAUGAAGUUAAAUAUGAAUUUUUUAUA